AACACAUGCAAGUCGAGCGGUAGCACAGGGGAGCUUGCUCCCUGGGUGACGAGCGGCGGACGGGUGAGUAAUGUCUGGGAAACUGCCUGAUGGAGGGGGAUAACUACUGGAAACGGUAGCUAAUACCGCAUAACGUCGCAAGACCAAAGAGGGGGACCUUCGGGCCUCUUGCCAUCAGAUGUGCCCAGAUGGGAUUAGCUAGUAGGUGGGGUAAUGGCUCACCUAGGCGACGAUCCCUAGCUGGUCUGAGAGGAUGACCAGCCACACUGGAACUGAGACACGGUCCAGACUCCUACGGGAGGCAGCAGUGGGGAAUAUUGCACAAUGGGCGCAAGCCUGAUGCAGCCAUGCCGCGUGUGUUAAGAAGGCCUUCGGGUUGUAAAGCACUUUCAGCGAGGAGGAAGGUGGUGAGCUUAAUACGCUCAUCAAUUGACGUUACUCGCAGAAGAAGCACCGGCUAACUCCGUGCCAGCAGCCGCGGUAAUACGGAGGGUGCAAGCGUUAAUCGGAAUUACUGGGCGUAAAGCGCACGCAGGCGGUUUGUUAAGUCAGAUGUGAAAUCCCCGGGCUCAACCUGGGAACUGCAUUUGAAACUGGCAAGCUAGAGUCUCGUAGAGGGGGGUAGAAUUCCAGGUGUAGCGGUGAAAUGCGUAGAGAUCUGGAGGAAUACCGGUGGCGAAGGCGGCCCCCUGGACGAAGACUGACGCUCAGGUGCGAAAGCGUGGGGAGCAAACAGGGUUAGAUACCC
rnacentral:rRNA from 1 species